rnacentral:rRNA from 1 species
AUUAUGAAUGGCCGCGGUAUCUUGACCGUGCUAAGGUAGCGUAAUCAGUUGGCUUUUAAUUGAAGUCAGGAAUGAAUGGGAUAACUGGGUUUAACUGUCUCCCCCUUAAUUUAUUGAAUUUACUAUUUAGGUGAAAAAGCCUAAAAUUAAAAAAAAGAGGAGAAGACCCUUAGAAUUUCAACUUAAAGUAAAAUUAACAUACACUGGUUUAGUUGGGGCAACUGGAGAACAGCUAUCAUAAAUGUAAACUUCUUUAAACCAUACAAGCCGCUUAUAUGAAGAAUGAAUAAAUUACCUAAGGGAUAACAGCAUAAUUUUAAAUAUAAGUUUGUGACCUCGAUGUUGGAUUAGGGAACUAACAAGCUAGCCGUUUGUUGUGUGGGUUCUGUUCGAACUGUAAUCCCU